rnacentral:rRNA from 1 species
UACGUAGGGCGCGAGCGUUGUCCGGAAUUAUUGGGCGUAAAGAGCUCGUAGGCGGUCUGUCGCGUCGGAUGUGAAAGCCCGGGGCUUAACCCCGAGCCUGCAGUGGAUACGGGCAGACUAGAGGUAGGUAGGGGAGAAUGGAAUUCCCGGUGUAGCGGUGAAAUGCGCAGAUAUCGGGAGGAACACCGGUGGCGAAGGCGGUUCUCUGGGCCUUACCUGACGCUGAGGAGCGAAAGCGUGGGGAGCGAACAGG